rnacentral:rRNA from 1 species
UAUAAGCUGCGGGGAGUUGUCAACAAGUUUUGAUCCGCAGAUGUCCGAAUGGGGAAACCCGGUCAAUUUAUUGGCCAUUGCAUGCUGAAUUCAUAGGUAUGCAAGACAAACCCAGUGAACUGAAAUAUCUAAGUAGCCGGAGGAAAGGAAAUCAACAUGAGACUCCGUUAGUAGUGACGAGCGAACGCGGAACAGGUCAGUGGUCUAUAAUUAGAAACUGGAAUGCUUUGGAAAGGGCAACUAUAGUGGGUGAUAGUCCCGUACAGGUAAGAAGGUUAUAGGCCCUGAGUAGGGCGGGGCACGUGAAACCCUGCUUGAAUAUAGGGGGACCAUCCUCUAAACCUAAGUAAUCUAAGCGACGGAUAAUCCAUAAUUUCCGAGGGGCGAACAAGUUAGGCGCCCCUUUCGCAUAGACGG